rnacentral:sRNA from 1 species
AUGUAUCCCGUACACGCCGGUUCCUCCGCCGCCCCCAGCCACCUGACGAGUGCUCGCCACGUGUUGUUAGCA